GCGCACGCUGGCGGCAGGCCUAACACAUGCAGGUCGCACGAACCUUUCGGGGUUAGUGGCGGACGGGUGAGUCACACGUGGGAACGUGCCUUUAGGUUCGGAAUAACUCAGGGAAACUUGUGCUAAUACCGAAUGUGCCCUUCGGGGGAAAGAUUAAUCGCCUUUAGAGCGGCCCGCGUCUGAUUAGCUAGUUGGUUGAGGUAAUGGCUCACCAAGGCGACGAUCAGUAGCUGGUCUGAGAGGAUGAUCAGCCACAUUGGGACUGAGACACGGCCCAAACUCCUACGGGAGGCAGCAGUGGGGAAUCUUGCGCAAUGGGCGAAAGCCUGACGCAGCCAUGCCGCGUGAAUGAUGAAGGUCUUAGGAUUGUAAAAUUCUUUCACCGGGGACGAUAAUGACGGUACCCGGAGAAGAAGCCCCGGCUAACUUCGUG
rnacentral:rRNA from 1 species